rnacentral:rRNA from 1 species
UACGUAGGUGGCAAGCGUUGUCCGGAGUUAUUGGGCGUAAAGCGCGCGCAGGCGGUGCGGUAAGUCUCUGGUGAAAGCGCUCGGCUUAACUGGGCGAGGGCCGGGGAGACUGCCACGCUGGAGGGGAGCAGAGGCGAGUGGAAUUCCGGGUGUAGCGGUGAAAUGCGCAGAUAUCAGGAGGAACACCAAUGGCGAAGGCAGCUCGCUGGGACGGUACUGACGCUGAGGCGCGAAAGCGUGGGGAGCAAACAGG